rnacentral:rRNA from 1 species
AGUGAACGCUGGCGGUAGGCCUAACACAUGCAAGUCGAACGGCAGCGCAGUAAGAGCUUGCUCUUACGGGUGGCGAGUGGCGGACGGGUGAGGAAUACAUCGGAAUCUACUUUUUCGUGGGGGAUAACGUAGGGAAACUUACGCUAAUACCGCAUACGACCUACGGGCGAAAGCAGGGGAUCUUCGGACCUUGCGCGAUUGAAUGAGCCGAUGUCGGAUUAGCUAGUUGGCGGGGUAAAGGCCCACCAAGGCGACGAUCCGUAGCUGGUCUGAGAGGAUGAUCAGCCACACUGGAACUGAGACACGGUCCAGACUCCUACGGGAGGCAGCAGUGGGGAAUAUUGGACAAUGGGCGCAAGCCUGAUCCAGCCAUACCGCGUGGGUGAAGAAGGCCUUCGGGUUGUAAAGCCCUUUUGUUGGGAAAGAAAAGCAGCAGGUUAAUACCCCGCUGUUCUGACGGUACCCAAAGAAUAAGCACCGGCUAACUUCGU